rnacentral:sRNA from 1 species
AAGGGUCUUCCUCUCCCGGGAUUCAGAGCGGCCCCUCCUCCAGGCCAGGCUCGCCGCGGGGCGCUGAGCAGGCCGGGACACCGCGGCCGAGGUUAUCGUUAGGCAUCUCCCAGGCGACCGGCUCCGCAGCAAGAUGGCGGACGAGAAAGACAGGCAAGAGAGAUUGGAACAAUUAUCAGGUCAUUAGGAUGCUGCCCUACUGAAGGAGAGCUGCAUGAUCUGAUUGCAGAGGUAGAGGAAGAAGAACCCACUGGAUACAUUCGAUUCGAAAAAUUUCUUCCGGUGAUGACAGAAAUACUACUAGAAAGAAUACAGACCAAUUCCAGAAGAUGUCCUUCUUCGAGCUUUUGAGGUUUUAGAUUCAGCUAAACGUGGAUUUCUUACUAAGGACGAACUGAUCAAGUAUAUGACUGAAGAAGGAUUGCCUGAGAUUUUCCCAGGGUAAAAUCCAAACAGAGACCUGAUGUGCCACUGGCUUGGCCGUGCAUGUUACAAUCACCCGCCAGAGAUGAGGAUGAGCCACGUGCCUUCAGGACAGGGCGAGAUGGAGGAGGAAAGGAGUGUGGUGACCCUCAGAACACAACAGACAGGCUGUUGAUGAUAGGAACACAUUGCAGCGGGGAAGGAGGAUGGCCGAGAUAUGAAAUACCCUUCAAGGUGGACGCAUACCCAGGGGCAUGUCAUUCGGUGGCAGGGGCCAGCACGGACAUGCAGCAUUGAAGUGUGUGCUAGUGCCUAAUGUGUCAACCCAGGCAUGGACUUGUUUGGAGCAUACAAGACGGCUCUGAGUUAAGUCCUGUAAGCCAUUAAAGAAGUAUAGUCUGGUGAAUGAACCCUAAUCUCUUGAUGGUCAAGUGAUGACAUCAUAUUCUCUCUCCGAGGAGACGCUCUCGUGCACAGAAGGCAGUAGAGGAAGGUUGCGUCGAGAUUGCGUACCUCCCCAGGCCCCACCUUCGAGGAUUCUUUCAAAAGUUCGGACUGAUGUUCAACUUCACAUCUUGUCUCAAGGCAGUCCUCUCUGUUUAGUAUCAUAGAGUUGGCUUUAUGGAAUGUAAUUCAUUUUUAUCUUUAGCACAAAUUUGUCUGUUUCUUUUAAGGCCACCAGAAAGCACAACAUAGACUCCCCAUAGAAAUCUCAUUUUAUCUCCUAAGUUGCAGAAUAAACGUACCUUGUUUGCAAAGGGAACAUUUUUCUUUA